CCUACGGGUGGCAGCAGUGGGGAAUAUUGCACAAUGGGGGAAACCCUGAUGCAGCGACGCCGCGUGAGUGAAGAAGUACUUCGGUAUGUAAAGCUCUAUCAGCAGGGAAGAAAAUGACGUUACCUGAUUAAUAAGGUCUGGCUAACUACGAGCCAGCAGCCACGGUAAUCCGUAGGGUGCCAGCGUUGUCCGGAUUUACUGGGUGUAAAGGGAGCGUAGGCGGCAGCACAAGUCUGUAGUGAAAUGUCGGGGCUUAACCCCGAAACUGCUGUGGAAACUGUGCAGCUAGAGUGCAGGAGAGGUAAGUGGAAUUACUAGUGUAGCGGUGAAAUGCGUAGAUAUUAGGAGGAACACCAGUGGCGAAGGCGGCUUACUGGACUGUAACUGACAUUGAGGCUCGAAAGCGUGGGGAGCAAACAGGAUUAGAUACCCUAGUAGUC
rnacentral:rRNA from 1 species